AAGUCAAGCACAGAAAGAAGCAGAAAAGAAGAAGAAAAAGAAGAAAAAGAAGCACUAAGUGACUAAUC
rnacentral:ribozyme from 11 species